AUGCUCGAGCAGUGUUCUGACCUCCGUCACCGAGCGGAACGCCUGCUGCAGUCACCACCAUCGCCGCCAUCUCCACCGCCUCUGUUGCCUGCGUCAUCAUCGCGCCUCCAAGCGGACCCCCUGCUGCACCUGCACUCACCACCUCCAGUGCUUACGGCGUCAUUAGGGCGCCCCCGAGUGAGCUUCGUGGUGAACCACAUCCUCAGUGAAGUGUCUCUUUCGUAUACACAAGCUUCGAAAUUGCUGCCCACCAACUGUUUGACUGAAUGCCCGAGCGACAUUAUGCGUCUGAAGGAGGCAAGGUUGACAACCAAAAUCACUCACCUGUCUCCGCCAGUGACGUUGGUCAUGCAUGUCAACUCUGCGCGUGCAUCAACCAACAUCAACACCACCCGAACCGUUGGCGUGGAUGCCCAGGACUCCAUCUGCAUUCCCAGGUCACCGGCCCUCAAAGCCACUUUCACUGUCGUUCCAAUACAGUCCAUGGUGACAAGUGCCUUUGUAGAAGAAUGCCUCGACGAGGACAGCCCAGAGAAGGACAUGUCUAUUGUGGCGCCACUAUCAUGGUUUCCUAUCAGCCCUGUGUGCCAGGUGCUUGUCGUUGGGUUCCUUCCUGCAGAGAUACGACCACCAUGGCCAGCACCUCUGGAUUGCAGCAGCACAGUGAUCACUAAAAUGGAUCAGUGUAGCACAGAGAAGGAGAUACCGCAGCCGGAUGUCUCACCACCGCCUUCGGCUGUCGGUUGUUUGUACCCAAGGGUCAGUACCGGUACAAGAUCUGUGAGCAGCCAUUUGAGAGCUAACUCUCUAGUUCAGAAAGUAUUCAAUGCAAUACUCAACACUGACAUGAGGGUGCAGAAUAAAGGAGUCAAUGCAAAUCUUAUAUUGCCAUGGAACCCCGGCAUACAGUCCGUAGCUGAGCCACAUCAUGUACGAGUAAUGGAAGAUGCUGUUAUAUUGGCUUAUGUAUAUUCUGUUGAGCAGUCCUACCACAAGUGGUUCAUUUCACUGAAAUAUCACUGCCAUGUUGCUGCUCAUUCCCUACCCUAUUAUGACUUGUAUGGAACAUGGUCGACCCUCAUUACCAUUGGUGUGUGUUCCAACAUGAUUGUACUACACACAGUGGAAUAUCCGGAGUUGGAGGUACAAAAUGGACUGAAUAAUGUUACAGCAGCAACCCCUGAUGAGUGUUUUCUUCCUUUAAAACAGUCCCAGUUUUGUGCCUUUGAAUUUUGGGAUGAGCAGCCUGAAAGUGCAGCUAUUACAGAAAGUGAUGCAAGCAACCCAACAAGGGUCAGCGAUCUAUAUAUUGAUGGUGCUUUCACUCUCUGA
rnacentral:rRNA from 1 species